GGAGCAUUUUAAUGUGGUAUUUUAAUAGUUAAUUCCUCACAUUUUGCUUAGUUAAUUCCUUAACGAAUCGAUUUUUAACUCAAUUUCUAUUUUCUUAGGUACAUUGGAGUAAAUGAUGGUGAAAUAAGCAUUAGGUCCACACUUACCUAUAAAUGGUGGAGAAAAAUGGAAAUGUACUAAAAUGUCAAUUUUACACAUUUUCCUACUCCGGCUAGGAGAAACCAAGCCAAGCAAGGAAGAAGGAGCGGCCGCCGGACCAAAUGAACUUCAAAUGAGCUGAAACUUUCCAGAUCCAUUCUAGACAGCCCAAGGAUCAUUUCUUAUGAAGAGUGCAAGAACUUUUGUUGAGUGGAAGGCCUUCAAACAAUCAACCCAAUUUUCUACAGAAGCAAAACUGGAAAACUGGACCUGUAAGAGGUCCAGCAGCAUUUUCGGCCCAACCACAUGGAAUAAAAAUCUGAAAUUUUACCAGGGUGAUCUACACUCAUAAUGGAACAUUUUUUAUGAAGAGGUCAUAGUGAAAUUGGGAAUGCUUGUUGGAGAAAUAAUUGAAGGAAUAAAGGGGCAGAAACUGAUCUAAAAAACAGCUCAACAUCACAUGUUCAUGUUUCCUACCCACAUGAAGAAAGCUAGAUGCUUUUCUCUUUUUCCUUGGAUAUAUUUUUCUGCUCCAAUAGAUCAUCAUCACUUCCAUACUUCUACACCUUCAUGCCUUGCUUUCAUUUCAUCAUUACUCCAUCUUUUCCAUAUUUUACAAACCACUUUCAUUAUUUUUCUUCCAUUUAUCAUUUCACUCUUCUUUUUCUUCCCUAUAUAAACACCUUCUCCUCUCACUCUAAACACAUUCCUUCAUCCAUUUCAUCUUCUUUGUCUCUCCAUUUCCAUUCCAUUUUUCUCUCCAUUCUCUAGUUGCAAAAUUCUGCGUUUUCAAGUAAGAAGAAGAAGAAGAAGAAGGAGCCGGGAAUAUCAUAUCCUCCAUUGUCCACCUUGAAGGCUUGCUUCCAAGAUUCAAGAUUUCAACGUUUCAAGCACUCCAUCUCCAUCUCCAACUCACGGUGUGUACCCUCAAUCCCCGGAAUAGAACGAUCCCUAUUUGCUUAUACUACUAACGAUGUUUUCAGGGUUAAAUUAUGCGCUUGCUUUGAGCGUAUCAAUUAAUUGAAGGAAUAAAGGGGCAGAAACUGAUCUAAAAAACAGCUCAACAUCACAUGUUCAUGUUUCCUACCCACAUGAAGAAAGCUAGAUGCUUUUCUCUUUUUCCUUGGAUAUAUUUUUCUGCUCCAAUAGAUCAUCAUCACUUCCAUACUUCUACACCUUCAUGCCUUGCUUUCAUUUCAUCAUUACUCCAUCUUUUCCAUAUUUUACAAACCACUUUCAUUAUUUUUCUUCCAUUUAUCAUUUCACUCUUCUUUUUCUUCCCUAUAUAAACACCUUCUCCUCUCACUCUAAACACAUUCCUUCAUCCAUUUCAUCUUCUUUGUCUCUCCAUUUCCAUUCCAUUUUUCUCUCCAUUCUCUAGUUGCAAAAUUCUGCGUUUUCAAGUAAGAAGAAGAAGAAGAAGAAGGAGCCGGGAAUAUCAUAUCCUCCAUUGUCCACCUUGAAGGCUUGCUUCCAAGAUUCAAGAUUUCAACGUUUCAAGCACUCCAUCUCCAUCUCCAACUCACGGUGUGUACCCUCAAUCCCCGGAAUAGAACGAUCCCUAUUUGCUUAUACUACUAACGAUGUUUUCAGGGUUAAAUUAUGCGCUUGCUUUGAGCGUAUCAAUUUUUGGCGCCGUUGCCGGGGAUUGAAAAAUCACUUGUUUUUGUUUAUAAUUGUUGUAUAUAAACUGUUUGAUACUUAGUUUAAAUUAACUAGGUUGUUUUUUUUUAUUGUUGAAUACGAGUUUAAUUGUGAGUUGUAAAUUAAAGAAGGAAUAGGUGAAGUCGUGUUUAUUAAUAUUGGCCUAAACCCCUUAUUGGUACCUAGUUCAGGUCCCUUAAGGUUGAGGGCGGCCUUUAUUAACAUUCAUUGAACUGUCUAACACACUUAGGACCUUUUACAUCCUAGUAAGAAUAUCCUAUGUGAGAUGGUGUCUAGGAAGGGGAUAACGUUCAUGACGGGUUUUUGAAUCCAGAAGUGCUUAUAAAUGGGCUUAGCUCAUGCCAAAAUGGAUUUUUCCUCUCGUGUUCACCCUCCCCUACCUGGCCAUUUCAGUAAGGUUGCCCAACGGAUGUAGGAGGGACUUUGUGUCUAGACGACUAUACUUGGGCCGCACGUCCACUUGAUUUACCGCUUGGAAUUAGAUUUGAUAUCAAUAAUGUUUAUAACAAAAGAAAUACUUGUGCAUACUCUUUACGUGUAAAUUAUUUUGUUGUUUCACACUUUAUACUUGUAAAAAUACUUUUUACGUUUUAUACUCACUUGUGUA